UUGUAAAAAGGUAUAUAAACAUUUCAAUGGACAGUGAGUAUAUAUCACUUUCAACCGUGAGCUCAAAGAAUCUUCAACAAAAGUAAAGAUGACUUUUACAUCAGCUUUCAUCGUGGCAGUUGCUACCUUUCUGGCACUUGUAGAUUACACGGUCGCCAAACCCAAAACAGGACUAACAGGGACCAGUAAGUAAUGGAAGUCAACUCUAAAAUGUGACGCAGCUUAAGGUGUACAUGCUUUAUAAUUAUUAAAAAUAAAUAAAACAAGAAAAUACCAAA